rnacentral:rRNA from 1 species
GACGUAGGGCGCGAGCGUUGUCCGGAUUUAUUGGGCGUAAAGAGCUCGUAGGCGGUUCGAUAAGUCGGACGUGAAAUCUCCACGCUCAACGUGGAGGGGCCGUUCGAUACUGUCGUGACUCGAGUCCGGUAGGGGAGUGUGGAAUUCCCGGUGUAGCGGUGAAAUGCGCAGAGAUCGGGAGGAACACCCGUAGCGAAGGCGGCAUCCUGGACCGGCAUUGACGCUGAGGCGCGAAAGCCAGGGGAGCAAACGGG